GACACGCUGGCGGCGUGCCUAACACAUGCAAGUCUGACGGGAAAGUCUCCUUCGGGAGACCGGUACAGUGGCGGACGGGUGAGUAACGCGUGGGAAUCUACCCGGUAGUGGGGAAUAACCCCCCGAAAGGGGAGCUAAUACCGCAUAAGCCCCAAGGGGUAAAGAUGGCCUCUUUCUAAUGCUAUCGCUUCCGGAUGAGCCCGCGUCCUAUUAGCUAGUUGGUGAGGUAAUGGCUUACCAAGGCUACGAUGGGUAGCCGGUCUGAGAGGAUGAACGGCCACACUGGGACUGAGACACGGCCCAGACUCCUACGGGAGGCAGCAGUGAGGAAUAUUGGUCAAUGGGCGGAAGCCUGAACCAGCCAUGCCGCGUGCAGGAUGACGGCCCUACGGGUUGUAAACUGCUUUUCCCCGGGGCGAAUAACCCCCUCGCGAGGGGGGAUGCCGGUACCGGGGGAAUAAGGAUCGGCUAACUCCGUG
rnacentral:rRNA from 1 species